ensembl:lncRNA
UUUCACUUCUUGCUUGUUCGCAAGCAGAAGAUGGGAAGAACGGGGACCGCUCCCGAAAGUUCCGAGACUUUCUAUCCUGGAAGAAUGAAGUAAUUCCCACUCUUGUCUCCAGCCGGGGAAGGGGGGGGUGGAGAGUCAUGUGAGCCGCCCCCUCCUGCGUUCCCCCAGCACGGCAUCUUCCCAAGCCGGGGAGAUGGCUGAGGGUUGCCAGGGCCCUGGCUUUCUCCGGGGCCCCCAGCGUGUCGUCCACGUCCGCGUGUCACAAUGUCUGCAGACCCAAGCCUGAAACACAGAAGGCGCUCUCCCGGCCUCUUCCCCAAACUCGCCUCCCUCCUAAUCCAGCCCUAAUUCCACCUGGGCACUCCGUCUGCUGCCCUUGAAAACAUCAAAGAACAGCUGCUCGCUGGGACAUAAUGGUUGUCUUUGUUACCCCUUGAAGGACUGGAACCUUUAAAAUGUCACUUCCCCGCAGAUUUCACUCGGCUAAAGUGAAACCGAUUUUAAAGUUACAACUUGCACUUGGAGGUUUACUUGCUGGGGGUCGCGUCCCUUUCUGCCUUUCAGCUGGCUCACCCCUUGGGGCUGACACAGACGUACGGGGCUCUCUCAGAGACCUUAAAACGCUUGCAGUUUCUAAAUCUUUCCUCCCGGAGCUUAAAGAAGGAGGCACCCCCAAGGAUGUCCUAGAGCUAUGACCGAGCACUUGGGCAUUAGGGACAUUUGGUAUUCUUCCUGACUUCCUUGUCUCUCCAAGCGGCAAUUCUGGUUGUGUUCGUCUUAGAAAUGACUGCUUUUGUAAGACUGGACGGAUCAUCGGAGAGAGUAGCCAAUUCCUUUCCUGUCCUGGCCUGGCAUCCGCUGCUCAACAUUUCUAGAGAUGCUUCCUCCUUUGCUUUCGCUAGAAAGGUUUGCCUUCCGCGUGUUAUGCGCUGGUGUUCCGCACCACAUCUCCUCUCACUCCACCCACAUGGUACCAAGCACAGCACCCCAAGCAGGUGCCCAAUCGAUAUGUGGUUGCUGUUGACGUGAGUGAAGGGUAACGAAAACUCCUCAUGCUCUAAUGAUUUUGAACACUAUUUGCAAGGCUGCAAACGGAAUUCAAGAAGCAAUGUCCUAAAUGGUACCCUCGUGCCUCUCGGAGGAUCUGGCAAAUUGAAUUCAAACCAUAUGUGGGGGCUGCCUUUCCCAGGACAAUAUAUUGCUCAGAAGGCAGCGGAGAUGAGCUCCCUUUCCAUGGCCUGGGAGUCCCAUAACAGGACCAAAUGAAGGUUGAAAUCGACAUCUUCCUUCUCUCCCUUCAGAGAUUUGGAGGAUGAUGUGUACCUUCUAACGUUAAUGAUUUCUGAAAAUUCAUAGAGCCGGAACACAGGGCUCAUCUGCGAAGAGUAACACAAGUGCCUUGUUUUAAAGUGGGAAGCGGUGUCCACAAGCCCGAGGCAACAAACUGACUGUUACCGCAAAUCUGUUCAUGAUGUCUUUAAGCACAUACAUGGAGACAACAGUAAAAUCAUUGCGCGGGGCCUCCCGAUGGCCCCAGGCCUUUGGAGCUCAUUUUAGAAAGUGCCCACGGAAAACAAAACAAAACAAAACACCACGUAGUACACAUUUCUAAAAACAAACCCGCUCCCACAGCGCCCCUGUGCUUUUUCAAUUUUGGGGGGCAAUCUCUAGUCUGAAAUCUUGCGUUUUUGACAGAAUUAUUGAUUCCGUGUUGACCCCUGGACUACAAGAUCAUGAACUCUCUUGGUCAUAACAAAUCAACAUCUGUAGAAUUGUCUCUUUCACCAACGUCAAGAGAAAGGGAGCCUGGGUUUUCUAAGUAAAGUGUCCGGAGAAAAACGGAUAUGAUUGCACAGAUUAGGUCGUUAAUAAUGCAUUUUUAGACGAAGUUAAUAUUUUAUGGGCUGUUAAUAAUAUAUGUGUUUGGGGAAAUGCAGAUAUUCUAUAGAAGGAAGAGAAAGUAAUAAACUUUGAAUCUCACAUCUUUGUAUCA